rnacentral:lncRNA from 1 species
UAGAGUCCGGCAUCGAAAUUCUGCUUUCCGGUGGGAUUCGGGAUGUCGGAAGUCUCUAGCAGCUUUUUUCUCAAAUGUUUUGAUAUGGUCAUCAAGUUUUAUGCAUAAGGAAAUGAGUUUUUGAGUGAAAGGAACCAAGGCAGAAAAGCCAGGUUCGGCCGCCGAACAUGCAUGGCUUUCGGUUUCACGUGUGGCCGCCGAAGGUGGUCUGGCCAGCCACCUAUAAAUGGCCUUCAGUCGGUUGAAGCGGUCAGAGCACCGUUUCUUUUGUCUUCUGAGGUGAAACCCUGUCCUUUGUGAGUAUUCUUUCAUGUUUUCAUUAAAUCAUGCAAAGAUUUGAUUCGUUUUUAUGAUCUUUUGAAGGUUUUAAGCUAAAAACUCAAAGUUGUGAAGUUUGGAGAGUUUGAAGGCAAGUUGCUCCAAAACUCCACGUUAGGAUCCUUCAUCUACUUGUUUUCACGAGGUAAGUGAAGAUCCUGAGCUUGUUUUAAUGUUUUCUGAAGGUUUUAUGGGGUUUGAUGGAGAGAGUGGCAUGAAUAGGGUUUUUUGAGAGUUUUUGAUGAUUUUAUGUGUACAGCUUGUUUUUGUGUUGUUUGUGUUGUGUGUUUGGGGUUAUUAGCUAGUUUUUGACCCCUUUGAGCAUAUANNNNNNNNNNNNNNNNNNNNNNNNNNNNNNNNNNNNNNNNNNNNNNNNNNNNNNNNNNNNNNNNNNNNNNNNNNNNNNNNNNNNNNNNNNNNNNNNNNNNNNNNNNNNNNNNNNNNNNNNNNNNNNNNNNNNNNNNNNNNNNNNNNNNNNNNNNNNNNNNNNNNNNNNNNNNNNNNNNNNNNNNNNNNNNNNNNNNNNNNNNNNNNNNNNNNNNNNNNNNNNNNNNNNNNNNNNNNNNNNNNNNNNNNNNNNNNNNNNNNNNNNNNNNNNNNNNNNNNNNNNGGCCGCCGAAGGUGCCGCCGAAGGUUAGAGACUUUCGUCUCUGGAGUGCCUUUUGGCCUCCGAAACUUGCCCCCGAAAGGGUUCGGCAGCCGAAAGUGGAGAUUCGGCCGCCGAAGGUGCUUGAGUUUCGUCUCUGGAGAGGACUUUCGGCCGCCGAACCUGCCGCCGAAAGUGUUCUGUCCAGCCUUCUCUUGCAUGCUUUGCAUGGCUAGGUGAGUGAGUUUAAGGGGAUUCUUGGGGAGGUUAAUAGAGUUAUUCAUAAGCUAGUUUGGUCCCUCAUUUGAGUCAUCUGUAUGGUACAAACUAGAGGAACCAGAGAGAGCAGCAGUGAGUUCUGCUCCAGAGGUUACAGAGCCUGCAGAGUCAGUCAGUCCAGAUAGCCAGAGGUGAGUGGAACUAAACUUAACUUUGUUUAACUUGCACAAUGGAAUGUUUUAGCAUAUCUCAUGCAUCAUGAUUAUGCAGUAGGGUGAUUGCAUUAGUAUCCACGAAUAUGUUGCAUUGCAUAGUUAGGUGUUGAUGUGGGUAAAUGCUGACUGAUCCAAUAGUCUCAGACAGGAAGUCCAGGAGCCUUUGACUACGCCUUGGCAGGUAUAGUAAAGACCAGGAGCCUUUGACUACGCCCUGGUAGGUAUAUAAUUAAGUCCAGGAGCCUUUGACUACGCCCUGGCAAUGGUAAGUACAGAGGUGUUAUAUACACAUAUACAUAUAUGACAGGAAGACCAGGUGCUCGAUUCUACGCCCUGGCACAGAGUUACUGGGACUAUGUGGUGACAGAUUUACUCUUGAUGUGGUUUGUCUGUGUUAUGACGCAUUCCAUGAGAUCAUGUUUUACUGAGAUGUUUUACUGUUUUACUCUCUGGGCUAUAGAGCUCAUCCCACUCCCUUAACCCCAGUUUUGCAGGUUCAGUGUACAGUGUACAGGGACAGUCCAGCAGGAGACAGAAAGAGUAAAGAGAUGUGUAAUAGCUUAGAGUGGACAUGUCAUAUUAUUGAGCUGUAACAGUUGUGUAUAAAGUUAGAAAUGUGCUUGACUUAGUGAUGUAUGUGUUGUACAUGAUCUGGAUAUCUAUAUAUGUUUGACUGUAUGUGAAAAACCAGGCUUAACAGGUAUGAGUUAACCCAUCUAGAGCAAGCUCUAGUCAGGGGUACAGAGUACAGAGUACAGAGAUAGUGCAUGCACAGGUUAAGCCUUGGUACAGAGAAAAGAGUUUUUAUUUUUCAUAGAAAAUGUAUGAUCAUGUAUGAGUUUUACAGGUACACAGAGAGUAUAGCAGGCUUGCUACGGGUUCUGGCGGCCUUAAGCCGACCUGAAUCCUAGCGCCGGUGACGGUGCAUUUUGGGGUCGUUACAGAGUGGUAUCAGAGCCCUAGGUUCACAUGAUCGGACCUAUAGAGACAGUGUCGGGCUUAUACAGGGUAGAAGUGGUCAAGCACAAUAGGAAAUCAUGUCCACUAGGAUAGGGUUGGUUAUGUGUUAAAGGGCUAUCUUAUAUGUUGUGUUUCCAGAGAGUAAAGAUGAGAGGAACUCGUCGAUCAGCUCGAUUGACUGGAGUCCCACCAGAGAAUGAGAGACCAGCUGCUCGUCCUCCUGCAUUGCCAAGGGCAAGGUCGCAGAGAUCUAGCAGGGAAGGUACGUCAAUAGACCCUAGAAGGUCUGUCGACGAGAGCAGAAGAGGAACAGCUAGGGGAGGAAGAUCAGAGGAAAGGAGGGAAGCUAUGGAGAUUGAUCAGUCGAGAGAUGACAGCAUGGGUAUAGGCAGAUUUGAGGAAGGUAUGGGAGAGUCGCAGGGAGGUGCUCAGACCUCAGGUUUUGGCUAUCCAGAGUAUCCGAUGGGAGGUAUGUCGGAGUACUCUAGUUUUGUGCCAUAUCCUUCUUACAUGCCCUACAUGCCUUAUCCUCCUUACUAUCCACCAUAUCCUAUGUAUCCAUCUUCCCCUACCCAUCCAAGUGCAGCACACCCAGAGCCAAAUGAACCAGUACCACCACCAGAACCAGUAGCCCCUGUUGUUGACAGACAUCAACCUAGCUCAUCUGGAGGUAAAGUGCAAAUGACGGAGUACUUGAAAUUGGAUGCUCCUAAAUACAACACGGGAGAUGAUCCAUUUGAUUACCUCAGAGCAGUUAGGAUGAUAACCAGUGAAUUGGGAGCAGAUGAUCGGAGAGCCAUUGAGAUGGCAGGUUUCACAUUAAAAUGCAAGAAAGCCAGAGAAUGGUUAAGAACUAUGUGGAACCCAGCAUGGACAGCAUGUCAUGGGGAGAGUUCGCCAAUGAGUUUGCAGGGUGGGCUUUUCCUGACAGUUCUUGGGAGAUGAAAGUGAUAGAGUUCGAACAGUUGAGACAGACAGAUGAGAUGAGUGUUGAUGAAUUCACAGAUAAGUUCCUAGAUUUGCUGCAGUACGUGGGUCAAGCCUAUGAUACUGAUCAGAAGAAGGCAAGGAGAUAUACUAUGAGAUUGCAUCCCAGGUAUGCUUCCUUGAUUCUUCCAGCAGAAAAGGAGAGUUUCCACACGAUAGUUGACGCAGCCAGGAAAAUGGAAGCUAGUGCCAAUAUUCAGAAACAGUCAAAGGCACAGGCUUCGGGUUCUAAGACCCCCAGUGCAGGCACAUCAGGCAGCAAGAGAUGGGAUAGAGCAAAAGGAACAAAGAGUAAGUUCUGGAGUAAAGUGAAGUCAGGUUUGGGAAUAGGUAGUGGCUCAAGCUCUGGCACAGCUCCAGUAUGCAGAAGAUGCGAAAAACCACAUGGCGGAGUUUGUCGGUUGGGAUCUACAGCUUGUUUUAGAUGUGGACAGGAAGGGCAUAUUGCUCGGGAUUGUCCGCAGGUGACAUUUGCACCAUCCCAGCAGAUGAGUUCAGGCAGUGUGGUACAGCCAGUUGUUCAGCCAGCAGCUCCAGUCAUGCCGCAGAGUAGUGGUAGAGGUAGAGGGAGAGGGGCAGCCUCUACUUCAGCAGCAGGUUCCCGAGGUGGAAAUCCGGUAGCCCCAGCACGGAUUUUCAUAGUGACACAGGAGGAGGCUAACACGUCGAACACAGUGGUGUCAGGUAAUCUCAUCAUUGGAUGUUCAGAUGUGUAUGCUUUGAUGGAUCCCGGUGCUUCUCAUUCCUUUAUUGCUUCGAGAGCCAUAGAGAGAUUGGGUUUGAUCACUUCUGAGUUAGAGUAUCCUCUCUGGGUCAGUGGACCCAAAUGUGACCCAUCAGUGGCAGUGUCAGUCUGUCGUUUCAGUCCAGUGUUUAUAGAGGGUAGAUACCUUCCAGCUGACCUUGUGGUUCUAGAUUUGACGGAUUUUGAUGUCAUUCUAGGGAUGGAUUGGUUAUCUACAUAUAGUGCUACUUUGGACUGUAGAGAGAAGAUAGUGAGUCUCAGAGACCAGGAUGGGUCAGAGUGUGUCUUCAGAGGAGACAGGAGAGGGACACCCAGAGGUAUGAUUUCAGCCCUUCAGGCUCGUCGUUUGCUUAGGAGGGGUUGUCAGGGGUUUCUAGCUCAUGUGAGAGAGCUAGACAGUCAGGUUAGGGAACCAGCCACAGUACCAGUAGUCCGAGAGUUUCUCGAUGUGUUCCCAGACGAUUUGCCAGGACUACCACCUGAUAGGGAGAUAGGGUUUGAAAUCGAAUUGCUGCCAGAUACCAGACCUAUCUCUAUUCCUCCCUACAGGAUGGCGCCAGCAGAGUUAAAAGAGUUGAAAGAACAGUUGCAGGACUUGGUAGAUAAGGGUUUCAUCCGCCCCAGUACCUCACCUUGGGGUGCUCCAGUGCUCUUUGUCAGAAAGAAGGAUGGAUCCCUCAGACUUUGUAUCGACUACAGACAGUUGAACAAGGUCACUAUCCAGAAUAGGUAUCCUCUACCUAGGAUUGAUGAUCUAUUUGACCAGCUAGCUAGAGCAGGUUGUUUCUCGAAAAUAGAUCUGAGAUCCGGGUAUCAUCAGUUGAGAGUCAGAGAGGCAGAUGUGCCUAAGACAGCUUUCAGGACCAGAUAUGGGCAUUAUGAGUUCUUAGUGAUGCCGUUCGGGUUGACUAACGCCCCUGCAGCAUUCAUGGAUCUCAUGAACAGAGUUUUCAGUGAGUUUCUGGAUCACUUUGUCAUUGUUUUCAUCGAUGAUAUUUUAGUGUAUUCCAGAGAUGCAGAGGCGCAUGCCCAGCAUCUUAGGAUAGUUCUGCAGACACUGAGAGAGCAUGGUUUGUAUGCCAAGUUCUCGAAGUGUGAGUUUUGGUUGAGGAGCAUUUCCUUCUUGGGACAUGUAGUAUCAGCAGAGGGUAUUGAGGUAGACCCCAAGAAGAUAGAGGCUGUAGCUAACUGGCCCAGACCCACGACAGUGACUGAGAUUAAAAGCUUUCUGGGACUGGCAGGUUACUACAGGAGGUUCGUGCAGAACUUCUCAAAGAUAGCAGCUCCUAUGACCAAACUGACUCAGAAGAACCAGAAGUUUAUUUGGUCAGACCAGUGUGAAGCGAGCUUUGACGAGCUCAAGAGGAGAUUGACCACAGCACCAGUGCUAGCUCUGCCUGUGAGUAAGGAGGAUUUCACAGUGUUCUGUGAUGCAUCUCGAGUGGGAUUGGGUUGUGUAUUGAUGCAAAGUGAUAGGGUGAUAGCUUAUGCUUCUAGACAGUUGAAGAAGCACGAGUUGAAUUACCCUACCCAUGACCUGGAGAUGGCAGCAGUUAUCUUUGCACUUAAGAUGUGGCGGCAUUACCUCUACGGGGUUAAAUGCGAGAUCUUCACUGAUCACAAGAGUUUACAGUACAUCUUGAGUCAGAGAGAGCUGAAUUUGAGGCAGCGGAGAUGGGUAGAAUUGCUCAGUGAUUAUGAUUGUAAGAUCCAGUAUCAUCCGGGUAAGGCGAAUGUUGUGGCAGACGCCCUCAACCGGAAGUCACUAGGCAGUUUAUCCCAUAUAGCAGCAGAGCGGAGACCAGUUGUGAUGGAGCUUUACAAGUUCUUAGAAGAGGGGUUACAGCUAGAGUUGUCUGGUACAGGUGCAUUGAUAGCACAGAUGAGAGUGACAUCUGUGUUUCUGGAGCAGAUAGCUCAGAGACAGCAUGAGGACCCUGAGUUGAUGAAAAUUGCCAGGACUGUUCAGUCAGGCAACAGUGCAGAGUUCAGAUUUGACAGCAAAGGGAUCCUUCGCUAUGGGAGUCGACUUUGUGUGCCAGAUAAGGGCAGUGUGAAGGAAGACAUUAUGAGGGAAGCUCAUAAUGCAAGGUAUAGUGUUCACCCAGGAGCCACCAAGAUGUAUCAGGAUCUGAAAAAGGUCUAUUGGUGGCCAGCCAUGAAGAAAGAAGUGGCGCAGUUUGUGACAGCCUGCGAGGUUUGCCAGAGGGUGAAACUAGAACAUCAGAAACCAGCCGGAAUGCUUAACCCAUUACCGAUUCCAGAGUGGAAAUGGGAGAACAUAGCCAUGGAUUUUGUAGUGGGUUUACCAGCUACGUCCAACAGGAUAGACUCUAUAUGGGUGAUUGUGGACAGACUCACGAAAUCUGCUCAUUUUCUUCCAGUUCGGAGUAACUAUUCUGUGGAUAAGUUGGCACAGGUAUAUCUGGAUGAGAUAGUGAGAUUACAUGGUGUUCCAGUGUCGAUAGUCUCAGAUAGAGGACCUCAGUUUACCUCCCACUUUUGGCGAAGUCUGCAGAGUGCAUUGGGCACGAGAUUAGAGUUUAGCACUGCUUUCCACCCACAGACUGAUGGACAGUCAGAGAGGACCAUCCAGACCAUAAAGGAUAUGCUUCGACUGUGUGUGUUAGACUUUGGCGAUUCUUGGAGGCAGCAUCUACCUUUGGUGGAGUUUGCCUACAAUAACAGCCUUCAUGCUAGCAUAGGGAUGGCUCCUUAUGAAGCUUUGUAUGGGAGGAAGUGCAGAUCCCCUGUUUGCUGGGAAGAGAUAGGAGAGAAGGCUCUUGCAGGGCCAGAGUUAGUAGAGAUGACCAGUAGAGUGGUGCCCAUGAUCAGAGAUCGAAUCAGGACAGCUCAGAGUAGACAGAAAAGUUAUGCAGACGUUCGCAGAAAGCAGUUAGAGUUUCAAGAGGUAGUAUGGUAUUGCUGAAAGUGUCUCCAAUGAAGGGAGUGGUUCGUUUUGGGAAGAAGGGUAAGUUAGCUCCACGGUACAUUGGACCCUUUGAGAUUUUGCAGAGGAUCGGAAAUGUGUCGUAUAAGCUGGAUUUACCUACUUCUAUGGAGAGAAUUCACCCGGUAUUUCAUGUUUCUAUGCUACGGCAGUUUGUGUCAGAUCCGAAUCAGGUUCUGAGUGAGCCUGAGGUGGAGAUUCAUACAGAUCUCACCUAUAUAGAGUAGCCAGUGCGGAUUCUGGACACACAGAUCAGACAGCUAAGGAACAAAGAGAUUCCGAUGGUGAAAGUUCUAUGGAACCACCAUAAUCUAGAAGAGUGCACCUGGGAGACGCGAGAGUCGAUGCUCCAGCAGUAUCCAUAUUUGUUUUGAGGUUAGUUUCCUCCGUUUCAUGUGUUAUUUGUUUUCGGAUCAUUCGAGGAUGAAUGUUCUUAAGGGGGGGAGAAUGUAAUACCCGGCUAGAGUCCGGCAUCGGAAUUCUGCUUUCCGGUGGGAUCCGGGAUGUCGAAAGUCUCUAGCAGCUUUUUUCUCAAAUGUUUUGAUAUGGUCAUCAAGUUUUAUGCAUAAGGAAAUGAGUUUUUGAGUGAAAUGAACCAAGGCAGAAAAGCCAGGUUCGGCCGCCGAAGUUGAGGUUCGGCUGCCGAACAUGCAUGGCUUUCGGUUUCACGUGUGGCCGCCGAAGGUGGUCUGGCCAGCCACCUAUAAAUGGCCCUCAGUCGGUUGAAGCGGUCAGAGCACUGUUUCUUUUGUCUUCUGAGGUGAAACCCUGUCCUUUGUGAGUAUUCUUUCAUGUUUUCAUUAAAUCAUGUUAGGAUCCUUCAUCUACUUGUUUUCAUAAGGUAAGUGAAGAUCCUGAGCUUGUUUUAAUGUUUUCUGAAGGUUUUAUGGGGUUUGAUGGAGAGAGUGGCAUGAAUAGGGUUUUUUGAGAGUUUUUGAUGAUUUUAUGUGUACAGCUUGUUUUUGUGUUGUUUGUGUUGUGUGUUUGGGGUUAUUAGCUAGUUUUUGACCCCUUUGAGCAUAUANNN